CUACGGGGUGCAGCAGUGAGGAAUAUUGGUCAAUGGGCGCGAACCUGAACCAGCCAUCCCGCGUGCAGGAUGACGGCCCUAUGGGUUGUAAACUGCUUUUCUAUGCCAAGAAACCUGAUUACGUGUAAUCAGUUGCCGGUAGCAUAGGAAUAAGCAUCGGCUAACUCCGUGCCAGCAGCCGCGGUAAUACGGAGGAUGCAAGCGUUAUCCGGAUUCAUUGGGUUUAAAGGGUGCGCAGGUGGGCUUGUAAGUCAGUGGUGAAAUGCUGCCGCUUAACGGUAGAACUGCCAUUGAUACUGCGAGUCUUGAGUAUGGUUGAGGUAGGCGGAAUGUGUUGUGUAGCGGUGAAAUGCAUAGAUAUGACACAGAACGCCAAUUGCGAAGGCAGCUUACUAAGCCAUUACUGACGCUGAGGCACGAAAGCGUGGGGAGCGAACAGGAUUAGAUACCCCCGUAGUC
rnacentral:rRNA from 1 species